rnacentral:rRNA from 1 species
AUACGGAGGGUGCAAGCGUUAUUCGGAAUCACUAGGCGUAAAGGACGCGUAGGCGGGUUGGCAAGUCAGAUGUGAAAUCCUACAGCUUAACUGUAGAACUGCAUUUGAAACUGCUAACCUAGAGUAUGGGAGGGGGCGAUGGAAUUAGUGGUGUAGGGGUAAAAUCCGUAGAUAUCACUAGGAAUACCGAAAGCGAAGGCGAUCUCCUGGAACAUAACUGACGCUAAGGCGUGAAAGCGUGGGGAGCAAACAGGAUUAGAAACCCUAGUAGUCC